rnacentral:precursor_RNA from 8 species
ACAUCGCCAAGAUCAUUAGAGGUUGUGUACAACUCUGGACCCACUUCCAUACAAUGACAGCAUUCGAAUGUGUGAAAGUGAGGCCAGUGUGGUAAACAACUUCUGCCUGUCGACUCCAUUCUG